UUAAGAGCUUGCUCUUAUGAAGUUAGCGGCGGACGGGUGAGUAACACGUGGGUAACCUGCCCAUAAGACUGGGAUAACUCCGGGAAACCGGGGCUAAUACCGGAUAACAUUUUGAACUGCAUGGUUCAAAAUUGAAAGGCGGCUUCGGCUGUCACUUAUGGAUGGACCCGCGUCGCAUUAGCUAGUUGGUGAGGUAACGGCUCACCAAGGCAACGAUGCGUAGCCGACCUGAGAG
rnacentral:rRNA from 1 species